UGAAAACUAAGUUGACCGAUUAAUACAUUAAAAACUAAAUAUUCGUUUUCCAUUUUUUUGAAAACCGGUACAUUCAUCAUCUGGGACUGAAACGACUUGGGGUCGAAAUUGUUGGGUGGCGAAACGUCUAAGCAUCGCUGUGACGUAUGUCGAACAGACGAUAGACAGAUUUGGGAAGAGGAAAUGAAAGCUUAUUUCUAUUCGUUUAGAUAAUUGUCCCCCGUGAAACAAAAGGUUCCCAGGUUGUGUCUAACUGUGCUGUUGACUGAGAGGUCAAAGAGAAUAUAUGUGGUUCCCUGUGUCUGACUGUGCUGUGUACUGAGAGGUCAAAGAGAGAAUAUAUGUGGU